AUGGUGCCAGAAUUGGAACCUGGGCAACAAAGGAAAGUGGGAAAGACAACAGGACAGAGGCAGCAGUCAGGAAAUGGGGCAGCCAGGGAAGAGUGCUUGAAUGAGGCUUCAGCUUUGGGGGCUGCAGAGAUGAAACUGGAGAGUCUAGGGCUGCAGGAUGAAAACGUGGGCAUCCUGCGCCUUCCAGACCGGGUCCUGCAUCUGGGGGCCCCUCCCCAGCGGCAGGCAGGCCUGAGUUCUCUGGAGUCAGAAGAUGCCGCCAGCCCACGGGACAGACGCUCUGAUGUCUAUGCUGGGACCAGAAAUCCGGCACAGCUGUCCAGAGGGAAGUUGAGAGCCAACAUACACAGAGGUGGCCUGAGGUCCUCACCUGGCCUCAGCAAGGUCUCGGGCUGCCCUGGCACCCACCUCUGUGCCAUCUGUGCCAGAAUUUUACCUCCAGGGCCCGAUCCCCCAAGCUCAGUGCAGAAUAUCAGGGUGGGUGACAGGCCGGGCCCUGACCAGACAGCCGUGUUCGAAACCACUUCAGCCACUGACUUAGCAAUCCUUACACCUCAUUUUCCCCACCUGUAAAAUGGGACUAGUAAGACCCACUUUCUGUGAAGGAUUUAGCGGAGCUCUUGGAACUGUGCCCAGCACACAGACUUCAAUAAACGUCGGUUUUAUGACAAUCCGGAAGUUUCACCUGGGCAAAAUGCUGGGGAACUCAGGCUGUGGGACCGGUGGGAGGGCACCUCGCAGUGUCAGGUCUGAGAAGCAAACCCUUCAGCCCUCGCAUCACCACUGCCCCUUCCAGGCUACUGAAUCCCAACUCCUGGAACCCAUCUCACCACCUUCAGGGACUCCAGAGCCCUCUCUGAAGCCCCCACAAAUUCCUAAACCAGGCACACAGCCCAUUCCCCUGAGAUGCUUUGCUCCUAAAACCACCUAACCACCUGUGAAACCCUGAGGCUACUUCCUCGUUCCUUACACCCUGACCCUGGCAGGUGCUUCAGCCUGGUUCACUGCAGAGCUCCAGAUGCUGGGGGUGGGGGCGGGGAUGGGAAACAUCCAGCUAGGCCAUUACUGAGGACGGCCCUGUAUGCGCCAAAGCUAAGGAAACACUGGACUCCGCUGAAGGCUUGGGUUCAAAUCACGGCUGUGUGGGCUUUGGACAAAUUCCGUCAUCGCAGUCCGUUUCCUUCUCCCGCGCACGAACCUGGAAAGCGCAGCCGUCGGGGCUGACCGAGGGAACGUGCUGUUCCCGCGGGGCGCUGGGGACACUUGACGCGGCAGAAGGCCCAGCGAGGGGCGCCCGUGCCCUGCGGCGCAUCCCACCCUCUCCGACACCAUCCCCUCCCGGACCCGCUUACCCCGGCCCGGGAACCAGAGUCGGAGGCCUCCGGGUGGCUCUCACUCCGGCUAAGGCACUGAGACUGACGAGGUUAGUGCGCUAGGUGGGCGGCCCGCGCCCCCAGCCGAGGCGGGCGUGGGGCGGAGCCUCCCGCGGCGGGCACAGGACGUUCCCGCUCCGUCCUCCCCGCCCCCGCUCACUUUCUGCGCUCCCUUCCUCCACGCUCGCCGCCCGUACCUUACUUAACUCCUGGCUUACAGCUCUCCGCGGGCACUGUGCGCCUCCGAGAACCCCACGAUCCCGCGCGUCCCCGGCGCGGAGCGGGGCUGCCCGGGGCGCGGGGGGCCAGAGCACACGCCUCGGGGCCGGAGGAUGGCGAGGGCUCACCGAGACCGA
rnacentral:lncRNA from 1 species